AUACGGAGGGUGCAAGCGUUGUCCGGAAUCACUGGGUGUAAAGGGUGUGUAGGUGGGAUUGUAAGUCAGAGGUGAAAUCCUGCAGCUUAACUGUAGAACUGCCUUUGAUACUGCAAUUCUUGAGUUCUGGAGAGGCCACUGGAAUUCGUGGUGUAGCGGUGAAAUGCGUAGAUAUCACGAGGAACACCAGAUGCGUAGGCGGGUGGCUGGACAGAUACUGACACUGAGGCACGAAAGCGUGGGGAGCAAACAGGAUUAGAUACCCCAGUAGUCC
rnacentral:rRNA from 1 species